rnacentral:rRNA from 1 species
GACGAACGCUGGCGGCGUGCUUAACACAUGCAAGUCGAACGAAGAGCGAUGGAAGCUUGCUUCUAUCAAUCUUAGUGGCGAACGGGUGAGGAACGCGUAAUCAACCUGCCCUUCAGAGGGGGACAACAGUUGGAAACGACUGCUAAUACCGCAUACGAUCUAAUCUCGGCAUCGAGGAGAGAUGAAAGGGGGCCUCUACAGGUAAGCUAUCACUGAAGGAGGGGAUUGCGGCUGAUUAGCUAGUUGGAGGGGGAACGGCCCACCAAGGCGAUGAUCAGUAGCCGGUCUGAGAGGAUGCACGGCCACAUUGGGACUGAGACACGGCCCAGACUCCUACGGGAGGCAGCAGUGGGGAAUCUUCCGCAAUGGACGAAAGUCUGACGGAGCAACGCCGCGUGAGUGAUGACGGCCUUCGGGUUGUAAAGCUCUGUUAAUCGGGACGAAAGGCCUUCUUGCGAAUAGUGAGAAGGAUUGACGGUACCGGAAUAGAAAGCCACGGCUAACUACGUG